GGGUCAGUAGGUUGGUCGUGCCACCGGUACGUACUGGUCUCACUGAUUCCUCCUUCCUGAAGAACUGUAAUGCCAUUAAUUUGGCGUUGCGGGGAAACAGGACUGUUACUUUGAAAAAAUUAGAGUGUUUAAAGCAAGCUAACGCUUGUAUACAUUAGCAUGGAAUAAUGAAAUAGGACGAUCGAUCCUAUUUUGUUGGUUUCUAGGAUUGACGUA
rnacentral:rRNA from 1 species